rnacentral:rRNA from 1 species
CCUACGGGAGGCAGCAGUGGGGAAUAUUGCACAAUGGGCGGAACCCUGAUGCAGCAAUGCCGCGUGAAGGAUGAAGGCUUUCGGAUUGUAAACUUCUUUUGUACGGGACGAAGAAAGUGACGGUACCGUAAGAAUAAGCCACGGCUAACUACGUGCCAGCAGCCGCGGUAAUAAGUAGGUGGCAAGCGUUAUCCGGAUUUACUGGGUGUAAAGGGCGAGUAGGCGGGAGUGCAAGUCAGAUGUGAAAACUAUGGGCUAAACCGAUAGAGUGCAUUUGAAACUGGAGUUCUUGAGUGAUGGAGAGGUAAGCGGAAUUCCUGGUGUAGCGGUGGAAUGCGUAGAUAUCAGGAAGAACACCAGUGGCGAAGGCGGCUUACUGGACCUUAACUGACGCUGAGGCGCGAAAGCGUGGGGAGCAAACAGGAUUAGAUACCCGGGUAGUC